rnacentral:sRNA from 1 species
AUAUUUAAUCAGAUCACAAAGAAAUCUUAUUAUAUAAAGUAUGGUUUUCAAAGUUGCUAACUCAUAGGAUUGUGCCACGUGUCAAGUCAAACGAUCAGAUGUUUACAUGUGUCAUUCAAAAUUUAACUUUUUAAUUCUCUAAGAAAAUAGAAAAUCUUAAAAAGUAAACAAAUUUACAUAUACUAAUUUAUAUGUCUAUAUAUUUAUAAACAAUUAACAUUUAUUCAACAAAAGGAAAAUUAACAAAUUUGUCUUUAACUCAUGUAAUCAUAAGUGAAAAUAGAACAUUUUGAGAAAAAUAGCUUAGCUUACAGGAUUUAACUUUUCAAUUAUUUUUAUUUAUUAAUUUUAACUCAUUUAAUAUUAAUUUGCAUGAUGUAAAAUUAACUUACGAGAUUACGGCAUAUAUAGAAAAUAUAUUUUCAACAAUGUUUGGUUUCUAAAUAUUUUUGUGGAUUUUU